rnacentral:rRNA from 1 species
UAGCAUGAAGUCAGACAAGUGAACCCGCUGAAUUUAAGCAUACAAAAAGCCGGGAGGAAAAAAACGGGGGAG